rnacentral:lncRNA from 9 species
CUCACUGCCGCAUUGGGGUGCUCAAUCCAGGGAAACAUUCAAAGCUGCUCCUGUCUGUCAGCUAAAGAUGACAAAUAUUUAUCAUCUCUGGACACCCCUCCAGCCUCUGAAAUAUGUACUCCAGUCAUGAAGCAGAGAAUGUUAUAGAGAAGACAAAGAAUUAAAUGAACCUUCUGAGGACUUCAAGCCUGGGAAGCAGCCUCUCAGACAGCUCCGCCUGCUCCAAAAGAGGUAAAGGAGAAGCCAGAAUAUAUAGGAAUUUUACAACAAAAAAACAGGCCUCCCUCGUCUAGGACACCAUUUUCUGGAAAAAGAUGAACAUCUGUAAGGACAGCCAGCUAGGCUGUUACAAGGCCUCCUCCUUCCAUCACCCCACAGGGAGUAAAUCUGGGCAGGGAAGGACCCAGCCAGAUGUGGAUGUCUGCAUGCUGCUGGGGCAACAUCCGUUUCCAAUAUGGUUCAACCAAUGUUGAAAUGCCCAUGAAUCCUCCCAGAUCUUGCCUCCCUCUUCUGGAGUCCACGUUUUCUCCUCCAUGUUUCUGCUGAGAAAGUCUCAAGUGUGUUGGUCAGCAUUCAGCUUCUGACUUUGAAAAACCCUGAUGAAGCCACGACGACCUCCCACUCGAUGCUAUCGCAGGUCACCUGUCUCCUCUCCUCAGCAAGACAUGUUCACAAAUGGCAAAGCCACCAUGCAAGGAGGCAGCUUUUUGAGAGCAGCAGCGGGACCACAGGAAGAUGGUGACUGGGUGGUCAUAUUCUAUGAGAUGGCAAAAGUGUGGAUUGCUCUUGGCAGCCACUGCCAGAUUGGAUGGCAUUUUCCUCCUACUCCUCAGUGACACUGAAGAAUGUGCAUUCUUCUAUCCAUUCACUAAAUAAGAACUCUACAGAUCCCCUGUGAGUGGUUUUUCAGGGUACAAAUGUACCAUCAAUCUGCUCAUAAGACUAAAGUUAGUACAUGCGCUUGUCUUUAUGACAGUUCCUGAACAAGGUGCCAUGUUUAAAUGCAGGGUGACUGACAAAAUCUGUUCCCAAGCAGUUUAUGCAAAGAAAGGGAACCAACUAAGACGACAUUGCCUUUAUAAGUAAGGAGUAGGGAAAAUAAAACAAUAUGAUUUUUAAGGACAAAUCUUCUCCUAUAAAAAAUUCUGUAUAUAGCUACUGGCCUAACAGACUCUGUGCUGUGUUCUUUAAAUAAUGGGAAUAAUACAGAUGAAACAUUGAGGCAGGAAGCCUUCCUUCACAGAUGCUACAUAAUAACCUUGAACCAUGGGAUUAAAAUGUAAACACGUGAGUACCCUUUUACAUCCCUCUGCCCCAUCUUCGCCUACAAAAAAAAAAAAAAAAGAAAAAA